CGCCGAUCCCGACGACGAAGGCCUCCGCCGCCGCUUCUCCGCAGCGGACACAGGCGCCACCGGCACCGGAACCGGCUCCACUGUCAUCGUCGCCGCUGCCGAUGUCCGGCGAGCGCGCCUGACGAACGCGAACAGCUUCAUCGGUUUCUUCUAGUGCUGGCGCUAUGAACGUGAGCUAUUUCUUGCACCAGCUGCCACCAGGGAGGCUUUGUCAUGUCUCAUGAGGCUCCGGCCGAUGAUGCUUAUUAUAUCCUUGUAGGUUUGCACCACUUGCUAAUUGCUAAUAGAAAAGACCAAACUGACCUUGUUCCUUGCGAUUUAUUCAUACGUUGUCAACUUUCGUCUGAGAAGAAAUAUAUAAAAGUAACAAACUACUUCUAG
rnacentral:lncRNA from 1 species